ACAUACGAGGGUGAUCUGGCUGCGACAUCUGUCACCCCAUUGAUCGCCAGGGUUGAUUCGGCUGAUCUGGCUGGCUAGGCGGGUGUCCCCUUCCUCCCUCACUGCUCCCUGUGCGUCCCUCCCGAAGCUGCACGCUUGGUGGAAGAGGAUAACCAUCCCAGAUAGUAGGAGUGUACCGUUCUUUGGUCAAGGGUAUACAAUAGCGGCACUCCCCUGCUAGAACCUCCAAACAAGCUCAAGGGAACUGUCAUUUUCUAAGGGUAUCAUAACCAUUCUUAGUUCUCUUAAGAAACUACAGUUCCCAGCAUACUUUGGAAGGAGCUGAGUGGUAUAAGAAUGCCUUAAACA